GGUCCCGACGAGGCUGGGGCACCCCCGGGACCCGCCCCGGCAUCCGCCGCCCCCGGCUGCCCCUCCGGGGCUGGAGCAGGGGUUUCCAGCGGAGGGGCUCUUUUGGAGAAAGGAGCCGUGACGUGUCUCCGCGCAGGGUUGUGCAAACCCGGUGCUGACAGUCCCGGGCAUUAUUUUUUCUUAAUUUGCUCUAUUAAUAGCCAUGGAGAAGUGAGAAAUGCCGAUGACAAAGACCGUGGCUGCAGAUUCCUGUUUCCAGGCCAGGAAGGGGGUAGUUCAGAGUAACCCACCCCUGACGUAACUCUCCCUCCCUGGGAAGAGCCCCCGGCUGCCAGGAUUUUCCGAGCGGGCAGUGAGAGCUAUAAGAGCAGGACCCGGGUACAAGAAGGGCAGAAGCCCUGGAGCCUGCCCGCAGCCCAGCACACACUGAAGCUAUGCUGCCAGCCAGGAGGUUCAGCCCUUCACCUCCUCAGUGUGCCUACCCACGCAAGCCAGCGCUGACUUCAUUUCUUACCGGCCAACCCCCAGCUAUGAAAGCAGGCAUGAACAGUGGGCUUGAUGUCCACUUGGUCUGCUUCCAUGGGUAGAGCCCACAGUCCAGCUGGGAGAUCCAGGAUCGAGACCUCGCUGAUGUUUCACCUCUCUCCCUUGCACCAUUUCCCCCCACCCACCGGAGGAAGCCCCAGCGUGGAGGUGGAGGCCCAGCUGCUAGCCCUGCUCGGGAAGGAAGCAGGAGGGAGAUGGCCGGGAGGUUGGUGAGAGUCGGCAGCAUCGUUAUCUGCUUCCCAGCUGGGGUGGGACACUUCUGCCGGGAAGGAAGAGGAGCUCUGCUCUUCCACUUCUCGGAGUAGUGUUUCAUGGUUGGGAGGUACCAAAUAACUCCCGUAAAAUACUGUCCCGGGUAUGCUCUGCUUCACACUGCCGAUGGGACAGGAACUUUGGUAUUUCUGCAAAAUCCUUACGGUCUGUCUUGUCCAAAACAACAAAAUAAACAAUGCCAAGUCUGC